rnacentral:rRNA from 1 species
AUGGCCACAGCCGCCGCCGCCGCCGCCGCCGCACGUUUCACCCCGGCCAUCCUGCCCCGUCCCCGCAGGAGGGUCCCCGCGCCGUGCGCCUCAGCGAGCAGCGCCUCCGGACGCGGCAACCGCCGGCUGCGCUGUGAGUUCGUUGCCAGCGUCGGGAACGGCGCGCUCUCCGGCGAGGACGACCCUCGACUGAUAGACCGCCAAAAAGCUCUUGAUGCAGCAAUGACUGACAUAAACAAUUCUUUUGGAAAAGGAAGCGUUACAAGAUUAGGCAGUGCUGGUGGUGCUUUUGUUGAGACUUUUCCGAGUGGUUGCUUAACACUAGAUUUUGCUUUGGGCGGUGGCCUUCCAAAAGGAAGAGUAGUAGAGGUGUAUGGUCCUGAAAGCAGUGGAAAGACCACUCUAGCUCUGCAUGCCAUUGCUGAGAUACAGAAGCUAGGAGGAAAUGCCAUGCUUGUUGAUGCAGAGCAUGCUUUUGAUCCAGCUUAUUCAAAAGCGCUUGGGGUAGAUAUUGAAAAUCUGAUUGUCUGCCAGCCUGACAAUGGAGAGAUGGCACUAGAAAUUGCGGACCGCAUGUGCAGAUCUGGAGCAAUAGAUCUCAUCUGUAUUGAUUCAGUAUCAGCUCUCACUCCACGUGCGGAAAUUGAAGGUGAGAUAGGGAUGCAGCAGAUGGGUUUACAAGCUCGUCUGAUGAGUCAAGCAUUGAGAAAGAUGUCAGGCAAUGCCUCAAAGGCUGGUUGUACUCUAAUGUUCUUGAAUCAAAUAAGAUACAAGAUUGGAGUAUUCUAUGGGAACCCUGAAGUCACUAGUGGAGGGAUAGCUUUGAAGUUCUUCGCGUCAGUUCGCCUAGAGAUACGACACAUUGGGAAGAUAAAAUCUGCCAAGGGAGAUGAAGAUAUUGGUGUCAAGGUCCGUGUCAGAGUGCAGAAGAGUAAAGUCUCCAGGCCCUACAAGCAAGCUGAAUUCGAGAUCAUGUUUGGGGAGGGCGUUAGUAAAUUGGGUUGCAUUCUUGAUUGUGCUGAGCUGAUGGAAGUUGUUGCAAAGAAGGGUUCAUGGUAUAGUUACAAAGAUAUAAGACUGGGUCAAGGUAGAGAAAAGGCACUGCAGUAUCUCCGAGAGAAUCCAACCGUCUGCGAUGAGAUAGAAAAGGUAGUCCGAGCCAUGAUACCAGAAGGAACCAGGCAUAUGGCCAUGCUAGCUUUCGGGCAGUCGUCGUCGCAACCCGAGGAGGAGGAAGUAUAUGAUGACUGA